GUCCCCGUAGCUCAAUUGGAUAGAGUACUGGCCUCCGAAGCCAGCCGAGGCGGUUCGAAUCCGCCCGGGGACGCCA
rnacentral:tRNA from 1 species